UACUAGAGUAGCACUCGCAUAUCAAUAAGCGGAGGAAAAGAAACUAACAAGGAUUCCCCUAGUAACGGCGAGUGAAGCGGGAAGAGCUCAAAUUUGAAAUCUUAAAGGGUUUCCCUUUACGAAUUGUAGUUUAAAGAAGUGUUUUCUGUUGAGGUUUUGGUAAAAGUUCUUUGGAAUAGGACAUCAUAGAGGGUGAGAAUCCCGUAUUUGACCUUUACUUUCAACUUUGUGAUACACUUUCAAAGAGUCGGAUUGUUUGGGAAUGCAGUCCAAAAUGGGUGGUAAAUUUCAUCUAAAGCUAAAUAUUGGCGAGAGACCGAUAGCGAACAAGUACCGUGAGGGAAAGAUGAAAAGAACUUUGAAAAGAGAGUUAAACAGUACGUGAAAUUGUCAAAAGGGAAGCGUUUGACACCAGUGUUGUUUUUCUGAAAAUCAAUUAAAGAACUGUUUAUGCUAAGCUUGUUUAGACUUUAUCAGCUAUCUGUUUAGUUUUGAGCUUUUCUUUAAUGCACUUUUCAGUUAACAAGUCAACAUCAAUUUCUUUUGCUGUAAAAAAGCUUGAGGAAGGUGGCUUGAGAUUCGUCUUAAGUGUUUAUAGCCUCUUGCCUAUGCAGUCGGAGAGAUUGAGGUCUGCAGCGUAGAUCCUUCGGGGCUAAAUGCAUUUGUGCUAAGUUAUAGCAUUUUAUAGACAACUUGUUGACUAUGAUUUGUCUUGUAGCUUACUCGCUUAUGUUAUUUUACCUACGCUUAGGAUGUUGAACUCUAUCACACACAG
rnacentral:rRNA from 1 species